rnacentral:tRNA from 1 species
AUUUGUAUAGUUUAAAAAAAACAUUACAUUUUCAUUGUAAAAAUAGAAUCUAUCUUAUAAAUA